rnacentral:rRNA from 1 species
AUUGAACGCUGGCGGCAGGCCUAACACAUGCAAGUCGAACGAGCGGCGGACGGGUGAGUAAUGUCUGGGAAACUGCCCGAUGGAGGGGGAUAACUACUGGAAACGGUAGCUAAUACCGCAUACUAUCGGAUGUGCCCAUAUGGGAUUAGCUAGUAGGUGGGGUAAAGGCUCACCUAGGCGACGAUCUCUAGCUGGUCUGAGAGGAUGAGCAGCCACACUGGGACUGAGACACGGUCCAGACUCCUACGGGAGGCAGCAGUGGGGAAUAUUGCACAAUGCGCGCAAGCCUGAUGCAGCCAUGCCGCGUGUAUGAAGAAGGCCUUCGGGUUGUAAAGUACUUUCAGCGGGGAGGCGUUACCCGCAGAAGAAGCACCGGCUAACUCCGUGCCAGCAGCCGCGGUAAUAC